rnacentral:tRNA from 1 species
AGCUCAGUGGUAGAGCACAUGCUUAGCAUGUAUGAGUCCCUGGGUACAAUCCCCAG